CAAAGGUCAACAGAGCGGGGCCAAGGCGGGCUGGGGAAGCGAGAUGUACCAGGGUGCAGCCCCAGGGAUCAGAGGACGGGACGGACGAGGCACCAACAGCGUACGGCCACGUAGGCCCCUGUGGCCAAGACGCGGCAAGAGGUACAGAACCGACGGUGGAGGUGGGGCGGCCGCGAGCGACAGAGAGGGGCCCGGAAGCCAUUCCCAACGACCCGGAAGUGAGGCAGCUUCCGCGUCACGCCACGGAAUCUCACUGCCAGGAGCCUCCAGCACAGGAGCGGUCCCCCGGCACCCCGGACGUCUCCUGCCUUUCCUGGCCCCCAUGGGCCCCCCUCUUGGGGCUCGCGCCCACCACCACCAGCACCCAGAGCCACAGCUGGCCCCGGAGAACUCUCUCGCCGAGUACUGUCGCCUCCACGGCCCUCACAGGCAACUUGCUCUGCCCAGCUUCCCCCCUCAGGGACUGAGGGCGCUUCUCUGCCCAGAGAUGCCACCAGCCAUGGAGGCCAGGGAAGGACACCCACACGAGGCGAGGGCGGUUAGGUCCUAAACAGGGCAAGAAUAUUGGCAUGGGUUGCCAUUUCCUCCUCCAAGGGAUCUUCCCAACCCAGUAAUAGAACCUGUGUCCCCUGUCUCCUGCUUGGCAGGUGGAUCAUUGUGACCUGGGAAGCCUUUAGUAUGAGCUUUCCACUGACCUUUGGACUGGAGCCUGUCUUUCUCUAUUGGAUUCAGCUAGCCUUAGGGCACAGAAUGCUUACUUUCUGGUCUCCAUCUUGAAUUCCUUAAAGGAUGUGUUGAAGCUCAGUGACUGAGUGGCUCCUGACUUAAUGAGUGGCUCCUGACUUAAUUCUUGUAGAACUGAUACUGAAAACUGGUUCCCCUGUGCCAAAUCAAAUCUUGGAGAAGAGUUUUGGGUGAGGUAGAAAAUACUAGGUUUAUGGCUUUGCCAGGCAAAGGGGGACACAGGAGUUCAUGCCCUCAAAAUUCUGUGUCCCCAGAAAUUGUGAGAUAAUAAAUAUUUGUUGCUUUAAGUCACUGAAUGGUAGCAAUAGGCAACUAAUACAAUAUUCACGUUACCCCAUUGUUACAAUAAAAAUAAAACAACUCUGUGUCCCA
ensembl:lncRNA